rnacentral:lncRNA from 1 species
GCGGUUGCUAUGACGCCUGAGACUGGGCAGGCACCUGCCGCUGGCCUCUGAGCGGCUGUGGAGCGGCGUUGGGCGCGCCCUGGGACCCUCACAGCGCUCACCGAAGGACACUUUCGGGCCCGGGUCCCGAGGCUCCGGCCGCAGACCCGAGGAGGAAAGGACCUAUUCUCCGUUCUUUUUCAGCAUCCCGGUCUUUCCCUCUUCUCUGCCCAGCAUGGCCCGAAACGACAGGAGAGCCUCUUCUGGAUCGGCCUUUCCAACCGCGGGCUGGAGGGAUUCUGCAUGAGGAUGGAGUCGCCGGUUUCCCGGGACCCACGCACAGCAGGCAUUUAGAGUUAGGCUGCUGCUCUUAUUUAAAGAGGGCUGAGAACACCCGCAAUCUGUUGGGUAGGCGUUCCUUUUCUCACUUUCCAGGCGAAGACUCACCCCUGCACAGAGACCGGGCCUGAAAAUCCAGGCCAUGACAAAGUCCACCAAACCACCGCUUCCCCUGGUUGCCGGCCUGUGAACAAAGAACUGCCAUUUUCUUCUUUUUGCCCUGUGUUCGUCAUGCACCUUACUUCCUGAUGAAGCUGGAGGCCUUUUGCAUCCUCAACGUCAAGCGUCAUCAAGAGAUUGGAUAUAGUUCCCUGGCAACUCUACUUGUAGUUUUUUGAGGAAGCUCCCUACUGUUUCCCACAGUGGCUGCACCAACUUACAUUCCCGUCAACAGUGGAAGAGGGUUCCCUUUUCUCUACACUCUUCCCAGCAUUUACUAUUUGUCGACUUUUUAAUGACGGCCAUUCUGACAGGAAGAAGUUCAGUUAGAAGACUUUCUUCACAUCUUGAGAAAGAAGGGAUUGAACCCCUUUCCUUUAGAGAACAGCCCUCUAUUUCGUCUGGGGCUCGUUACAGCAAGCACAGCUGAGGACUGCCUCCAGGAAUCUAGAAGAGCUUCCAGUGGAGCCCAUGGAAGAAUUGAAAGAAGUGGAAAAUUAUGCAAACCGCGUCUGUAACUUACCAGAGGCAAAAGAAGCAUUUUCUCAUGGUUGUGAAAAGGAAAGCAGACAGCCUAGACAUGAGUUUAAAGAGUUCCAACUCAAACCAGGAGAAAUUUGAACAAAUCUACCAGCCUCUGCAAAGGGAACAUCAGAGACAUCAAGAACCUGCACAUCAGUCUAGAAAAAAUUUGAGCGAGGUGGGAAAAAAAAUUACAGUUUUUUUAUUUAAUAAUAGUAGCUAAUUACAAGCUCACGUUUACCGUGGAAGUAUGUUGUUUGAAUAUUUUAAAAUGUAUAAAUCCAUGCUGUAAAAAUAUCAGUGGUACUUAAAAGUAUUAUAAACAUAGUACAAAUAUUUGGGGAGAAGAAAAAAUUAAUCACCUAUUUAACACAAGAGCUGAUUUUUACUGAAUGUAUCAAAAUUUAAACCAUCAAUGUAUGUCAUGAACUUUGAAAAAUCACUUUGGACAGCACAUACUUUUCAAGUAUAUUUG